UCAGGCAAUACCACCCUGAACGCGCCCGAUCUCGUCUGAUCUCGGAAGUCAAGCAGUGUCGGGCCUGGUUAGUACUUGGAUGGGAUUUCUCUCUUGACAAGCCAGAGAAAAUGCUGAA
rnacentral:rRNA from 1 species